GCAUUGCUGAUGAGUCCCAAACAGGACGAAACAGCUGUUCAGUGC
rnacentral:hammerhead_ribozyme from 1 species